UUUUUUUUUGGUUUUU
rnacentral:sRNA from 1 species